UGUGUUCGUGUGUUCGUUGAUGUAUCAUCUUUGUAUUGUGGUGGUGGUGGUGGUGAUUGUUUUGCGUGGAGGAUCAUGUGACUGUCAUGGUGAGGUUUGAACGGACCGUCGUGGUUUUUAUGGAGUUGGUGUCAGAAUGGUUUGCGAAAGGGAGCUAUAUAAGGGGGUGGCUAGUGUUGUUUAGGUGAAGAGGUGAAUGUUUGUUGGGAG
rnacentral:lncRNA from 1 species